rnacentral:snRNA from 1 species
AUACAUUUCUCAACCUUUUGACUAUGAUAAAGUGUAUUAUUUGUUCUUAUUAGUUUAAUAUCUAAUAUGUGAACCAUAUGUCCGCUAAGGGGAUGCUUG